rnacentral:rRNA from 1 species
GAUGAACGCUGGCGGCGUGCCUAAUACAUGCAAGUCGAGCGAACAGACGAGGAGCUUGCUCCUCUGACGUUAGCGGCGGACGGGUGAGUAACACGUGGAUAACCUACCUCUAAGACUGGGAUAACUUCGGGAAACCGGAGCUAAUACCGGAUCAUAUAUUGAACCGCAUGGUUCAAUAGUGAAAGACGGUUUUGCUGUCACUUAUAGAUGGAUCCGCGCCGCAUUAGCUAGUUGGUAAGGUAACGGCUUACCAAGGCAACGAUGCGUAGCCGACCUGAGAGGGUGAUCGGCCACACUGGAACUGAGACACGGUCCAGACUCCUACGGGAGGCAGCAGUAGGGAAUCUUCCGCAAUGGGCGAAAGCCUGACGGAGCAACGCCGCGUGAGUGAUGAAGGUCUUCGGAUCGUAAAACUCUGUUAUUAGGGAAGAAAAAAUGUGUAAGUAACUAUGCACGUCUUGACGGUACCUAAUCAGAAAGCCACGGCUAACUACGUG